rnacentral:rRNA from 1 species
AUUGAACGCUGGCGGCAGGCCUAACACAUGCAAGUCGAACGGUAACAGGAAGCAGCUUGCUGCUUUGCUGUCGAGUGGCGGGCGGGUGAGUCAUGUCUGGGAAACUGCUCGAUGGAGGGGGAUAACUACUGGAAACGGUGGCUAUUACCGCAUAACGACUCAAGAGCAAAGAGGGGGACCUAGGGCCGCUUGCCAUCGGACGUGUCCAGAUGGGAUUAGCUAGUAGGUGGGGUAACGGCUCACCUAGGCGACGAUCCCUAGCUGGUCUGAGAGGAUGACCAGCCACACUGGAACUGAGACACGGUCCAGACUCCUACGGGAGGCAGCAGUGGGGAAUAUUGCGCAAUGGGCGCAAGCCUGAUGCAGCCAUGCCGCGUGUAUGAAGAAGGCCUUCGGGUUGUAAAGUUCUUUUAGCGGGGAGGAAGAGAGUAAAGUUAAUACCUGCACUCAUUGACGGUACCCGCAGAAGAAGCACCGGCUAACUACGUG